GAUGAAGAACGCAGCGAAAUGCGAUAAGUAAUGUGAAUUGCAGAAUUCAGUGAAUCAUCGAAUCUUUGAACGCACAUUGCGCCCGCCAGCAUUCUGGCGGGCAUGCCUGUUCGAGCGUCAUUUCAACCCUCGAGCCCCCCCGGGGGCCUCGGUGUUGGGGGACGGCACACCAGCCGCCCCCGAAAUGCAGUGGCGACCCCGCCGCAGCCUCCCCUGCGUAGUAGCACACACCUCGCACCGGAGCGCGGAGGCGGUCACGCCGUAAAACGCCCAACCUUCUUAGAGUUGACCUCGGAUCAGGUAGGAAUACCCGCUGAACUUAAGCAUAUCAAUAAGCGGAGGA
rnacentral:misc_RNA from 1 species